UGACAACCUGGUUGAUCCUGCCAGUAGUCAUAUGCUUGUCUCAAAGAUUAAGCCAUGCAUGUCUAAGUACAAACUAUAUUAAAGUGAAACCGCGAAAGGCUCAUUAAAUCAGUUAUGGUUCCUUAGAUCGUACCACAAAUACUUGGAUAACUGUGGUAAUUCUAGAGCUAAUACAUGCAAACAGAGCUCUGACCGGAGACGGUAGGAGUGCUUUUAUUAGAUCAAAACCAAUCGGCGGCGGUAGCAUUUCGGUGUUAUCGUUCGUCGCUCAAUAAAUGGUGAAUCUGAAUAACUUUAUGCUGAUCGCAUGGUCUUGUACCGGCGACGCAUCUUUCAAAUGUCUGCCUUAUCAACUGUCGAUGGUAGGAUCUGCGCCUACCAUGGUUGUAACGGGUAACGGGGAAUCAGGGUUCGAUUCCGGAGAGGGAGCCUGAGAAACGGCUACCACAUCCAAGGAAGGCAGCAGGCGCGCAAAUUACCCACUCCCGGCACGGGGAGGUAGUGACGAAAAAUAACGAUACGGGACUCAUCCGAGGCCCCGUAAUCGGAAUGAGUACACUUUAAAUCCUUUAACGAGGACCAAUUGGAGGGCAAGUCUGGUGCCAGCAGCCGCGGUAAUUCCAGCUCCAAUAGCGUAUAUUAAAGUUGUUGCGGUUAAAAAGCUCGUAGUUGAAUUUGUGUCUCGCACUGUCGGUUCACCGCCCGCGGUGCUAACUGGCAUGUUUGCGAGACGUCCUGCCGGUGGAUGGUACGUAAUGUGAAGAUCUUUACGGGUCUUCAUUUUGCUCAUCCGACUUUUGAAAUCCUGUCGCGGUGCUCUUAACUGAGUGUCGAGGCGGGCCGGCACGUUUACUUUGAACAAAUUAAAGUGCUCAAAGCAGGCUAAUUAAUGCCUGAAUAAUUAGUGCAUGGAAUAAUGGAACAGGACCUUGGUUCUAUUUUGUUGGUUUUCGGAACCCCAAGGUAAUGAUUAAUAGGGACAGAUGGGGGCAUUCGUAUUGCGACGUUAGAGGUGAAAUUCUUGGAUCGUCGCAAGACGGACUAAAGCGAAAGCAUUUGCCAAAGAUGUUUUCAUUAAUCAAGAACGAAAGUCAGAGGCUCGAAGGCGAUCAGAUACCGCCCUAGUUCUGACCAUAAACGAUGCCAGCUAGCGAUCCGCCAAAGUUCCUCCGAUGACUUGGCGGGCAGCUUCCGGGAAACCAAAGCUUUUGGGUUCCGGGGGAAGUAUGGUUGCAAAGCUGAAACUUAAAGGAAUUGACGGAAGGGCACCACCAGGAGUGGAGCCUGCGGCUUAAUUUGACUCAACACGGGAAACCUCACCAGGCCCAGACACUGGAAGGAUUGACAGAUUGAGAGCUCUUUCUUGAUUCAGUGGGUGGUGGUGCAUGGCCGUUCUUAGUUGGUGGAGCGAUUUGUCUGGUUAAUUCCGAUAACGAACGAGACUCUAGCCUACUAAAUAGACGUUACACUUUCCAGUAUCUCGAAGGCUCACAUCUCUCAUUUCUUUAUUGCACAUCACUGGACAUUUCGGUGUUUUCAGUUGGUGUGUGGUGGGUGGGAGUUUGUGGUUUUUACUACUGGCGUACAUAUAAAUCUUCUUAGAGGGACAGGCGGCUUCUAGCCGCACGAGAUUGAGCAAUAACAGGUCUGUGAUGCCCUUAGAUGUUCUGGGCCGCACGCGCGCUACACUGAAGGAAUCAGCGUGUCUUCCCUGGCCGAAAGGUCCGGGUAACCCGCUGAACCUCCUUCGUGCUAGGGAUUGGGGCUUGCAAUUAUUCCCCAUGAACGAGGAAUUCCCAGUAAACGCGAGUCAUAAGCUCGCAUUGAUUACGUCCCUGCCCUUUGUACACACCGCCCGUCGCUACUACCGAUUGAAUGAUUUAGUGAGGUCUUCGGACUGGUACGCGGUGAUAUUUCGAUAUCACCGAUGUCGCUGGGAAGAUGACCAAACUUGAUUAUUUAGAGGAAGUAAAAGUCGUAACAAGGUUUCCGUA
rnacentral:rRNA from 1 species